AGCGCAGGUGGUUGUAUAAGUCUGAAGUAAAAGGCAGUGGCUCAACCAUUGUGUGCUUUGGAAACUGUACAACUUGAGUGCAGAAGGGGAGAGUGGAAUUCCAUGUGUAGCGGUGGAAUGCGUAGAUAUAUGGAGGAACACCGGUGGCGAAAGCGGCUCUCUGGUCUGUAACUGACACUGAGGCUCGAAAGGCUGGGAGCAAACA
rnacentral:rRNA from 1 species